rnacentral:rRNA from 1 species
AUUGAACGCUGGCGGCAUGCCUUACACAUGCAAGUCGAACGGCAGCGGACCUUCGGGUGCCGGCGAGUGGCGAACGGUGAGUAAUAUAUCGGAACGUACCUUUCAGUGGGGAUAACGUAGCGAAAGUUACGCUAAUACCGCAUAUUCUGUGAGCAGGAAAGCAGGGGAUCGCAAGACCUUGCGCUGAUUGAGCGGCCGAUAUCAGAUUAGCUAGUUGGUGAGGUAAAGGCUCACCAAGGCGACGAUCUGUAGCGGGUCUGAGAGGAUGAUCCGCCACACUGGAACUGAGACACGGUCCAGACUCCUACGGGAGGCAGCAGUGGGGAAUUUUGGACAAUGGGCGCAAGCCUGAUCCAGCCAUGCCGCGUGAGUGAAGAAGGCCUUCGGGUUGUAAAGCUCUUUCGGCCGGGAAGAAAUCGCACAGGUUAAUACCCUGUGUGGAUGACGGUACCGGAAUAAGAAGCACCGGCUAACUACGUG